rnacentral:rRNA from 1 species
AUUGAACGCUGGCGGCAGGCUUAACACAUGCAAGUCGAGCGGGGUGAUGGUGCUUGCACUAUCACUUAGCGGCGGACGGGUGAGUAAUGCUUAGGAAUCUGCCUAUUAGUGGGGGACAACAUCUCGAAAGGGAUGCUAAUACCGCAUACGUCCUACGGGAGAAAGCAGGGGAUCACUUGUGACCUUGCGCUAAUAGAUGAGCCUAAGUCGGAUUAGCUAGUUGGUGGGGUAAAGGCCUACCAAGGCGACGAUCUGUAGCGGGUCUGAGAGGAUGAUCCGCCACACUGGGACGGAGACACGGCCCAGACUCCUACGGGAGGCAGCAGUGGGGAAUAUUGGACAAUGGGGGGAACCCUGAUCCAGCCAUGCCGCGUGUGUGAAGAAGGCCUUACGGUUGUAAAGCACUUUAAGCGAGGAGGAGGCUCUUUUAGUUAAUACCCAAGAUGAGUGGACGUUACUCGCAGAAUAAGCACCGGCUAACUCUGUGCCAGCCGCCGCCGUAA